CGAAGGUGGCAAGCGUUGUUCGGAAUCACUGGGCAUAAAGAGCACGUAGGCGGCUGAGUUAGUCGGAUGUGAAAUACCUCGGCUCAACCGAGGAACUGCGUCCGAUACUGCUUGGCUUGAGGUCCGGAGGGGAGAGUGGAAUUCCCGGUGGAGCGGUGAAAUGCGUAGAGAUCGGGAAGAACGCCGGCGGCGAAAGCGACUCUCUGGUCGGAAUCUGACGCUGAGGUGCGAAAGCUAGGGGAGCAAACGGGAUUAGAUACCCCGGUAGUCCUAGCCAUAAACGAUGGACGCUAGGUAGUGGUCGUUCCUAUGCGAUCACUGCUGGAGCAAAUGUCUUAAGCGUCCCGCCUGGGAAGUACGGUCGCAAGAUUA
rnacentral:rRNA from 1 species